UACGUAGGGACCGAGCGUUGUCCGGAUUCAUUGGGUUUAAAGGGUGCGUAGGCGGCCCGUUAAGUCAGUGGUGAAAGCCUCCAGCUCAACUGGAGAACUGCCAUUGAUACUGGCGGGCUUGAGUACAGACGAGGUAGGCGGAAUUGAUUGUGUAGCGGUGAAAUGCAUAGAUACAAUCAAGAACACCGAUUGCGUAGGCAGCUUACUAGGCUGUAACUGACGCUGAGGCACGAAAGCGUGGGGAGCGAACAGG
rnacentral:rRNA from 1 species